rnacentral:rRNA from 1 species
AUUGAACGCUGGCGGCAGGCCUAACACAUGCAAGUCGAGCGGAUGAAGGGAGCUUGCUCCUGGAUUCAGCGGCGGACGGGUGAGUAAUGCCUAGGAAUCUGCCUGGUAGUGGGUGAUAACGUCCGGAAACGGGCGCUAAUACCGCAUACGUCCUGAGGGAGAAAGUGGGGGAUCUUCGGACCUCACGCUAUCAGAUGAGCCUAGGUCGGAUUAGCUAGUUGGUGGGGUAAAGGCCUACCAAGGCGACGAUCCGUAACUGGUCUGAGAGGAUGAUCAGUCACACUGGAACUGAGACACGGUCCAGACUCCUACGGGAGGCAGCAGUGGGGAAUAGUGGACAAUGGGCGAAAGCCUGAUCCAGCCAUGCCGCGUGUGUGAAGAAGGUCUUCGGAUUGUAAAGCACUUUAAGUUGGGAGGAAGGGCAGUAAGUUAAUACCUUGCUGUUUUGACGUUACCAACAGAAUAAGCACCGGCUAACUUCGU